rnacentral:rRNA from 1 species
AUUGAACGCUGGCGGCAGGCCUAACACAUGCAAGUCGGACGGUAGCACAGAGGAGCUUGCACUAUCACUUAGCGGCGGACGGGUGAGUAAUGCUUAGGAAUCUGCCUAUUAGUGGGGGACAACAUCUCGAAAGGGAUGCUAAUACCGCAUACGUCCUACGGGAGAAAGCAGGGGAUCACUUGUGACCUUGCGCUAAUAGAUGAGCCUAAGUCGGAUUAGCUAGUUGGUGGGGUAAAGGCCCACCAAGGCGACGAUCUGUAGCGGGUCUGAGAGGAUGAUCCGCCACACCGGGACUGAGACACGGCCCAGACUCCUACGGGAGGCAGCAGUGGGGAAUAUUGGACAAUGGGGGGAACCCUGAUCCAGCCAUGCCGCGUGUGUGAAGAAGGCCUUAUGGUUGUAAAGCACUUUAAGCGAGGAGGAGGCUCUUUUGGUUAAUACCCAAGAUGAGUGGACGUUACUCGCAGAAUAAGCACCGGCUAACUCUGUGCCAGCCGCCGCCGUAA